GCUUGCACCAGGUCGUACGACCGGNGCACGGGCUGAGUAACGCGUAUGCAACCUACCCUACUAACAGGGGGAUAGCUUUCCGGAAACGGAAAUUAAUACCCCAUAGUACCUAAAUAUCGCAUGGUAUUAAGGUUAAAACUUCGGNGGUUAUAGAUGGGCAUGCGUGACAUUANCUAGUUGGNGAGGUAACGGCUCACCAAGGCCACNAUGUCUAGGGGGUCUAAAAGGAUGGUCCCCCACACUGGUACUGAGACACGGACCAGACUCCUACGGGAGGCAGCAGUGAGGAAUAUUGGUCAAUGGGCGAAAGCCUGAACCAGCCAUGCCGCGUGCAGGAAGACUGCCCUACGGGUUGUAAACUGCUUUUGUAUANGAAGAAAAAGGGUUACGUGUAACCCCCUGACGGUACUAUAUGAAUAAACACCGGCUAACUCCGUGCCAGCAGCCGCGGUAAUACGGAGGGUGCAAGCGUUAUCCGGAUUUAUUANGUUUAAAGGGUGUGUAGGCGGACUUUUAAGUCAGUGGUGAAAUCCCGGGGCUCANCUCCGGAACUGCCAUUGAUACUGAAGGUCUUGAGUACAGUUGAAGUAGGCGGAAUGUGUAAUGUAGCGGUGAAAUGCUU
rnacentral:rRNA from 1 species